rnacentral:lncRNA from 1 species
UUUCCCCAGAGUCCCCAAAGUCCAUUAUAUCAUUCUUACGCUAUUGCAUCCUCAUAACUCAACUCCCAGCAACCACUAUUUUACUAUAUUCACAACACUCAAUACUCUGGGUCUCCAGAUGUAAGGGAUCUUUUCCCCCACAUUGACCAAUUCUCCAACAUCAGUUGAGUAUCCUAUGAUUUAAUUCAGUCUGACAUUAUCUCCGUGGAGGCAGCAUCAUAUCCCACAGGUUAAUGACUCAGUCCCACAAGACUCUUUCCCAUCUCAAAUGCUAAUCACAAGUCCAGGCUGUCACCUGCGCAUAUGACCAAAUGGCUACAAAUCAGAGGUUCCCAUGACCCUUCCUUGGGUUUAGUAAUUUGCUAUGAUGGCUCACAGAGUGCAAGAAAACACUUACUUACAUUUCCCAGCUUAUUAUAAAAGAUAUGAUAAAAGUUACAGAUGAAUAGCUAGCCAGAUGAAGAGGUACAUAGGGUGAGGUCCACAAGGUCCCAAGUGCAG